GAGUGUAUAGCUAAGUGGUAGAGUGCCUGCUUAGCAUGUGUGAGGUCCUGGGUUCAAUCCCCAGUACCUCCA
rnacentral:tRNA from 1 species